GUCCACGCCCUAAACUAUGUCAACUAGACGUUGGGCUCAUUAAUGAGCUUAGUGUCGUAGCUAACGCGUUAAGUUGACCGCCUGGGGAGUACGGCCGCAAGGUUGAAACUCAAAGGAAUUGACGGGGGCCCCGCACAAGCGGUGGAGCAUGUGGUUUAAUUCGAUGCAACGCGAAGAACCUUACCAGCCCUUGACAUCCUGGGAACUUUGUAGAGAUACAUUGGUGCCUUCGGGAAUCCAGUGACAGGUGCUGCAUGGCUGUCGU
rnacentral:rRNA from 1 species